AGCCUUAAGAUGAAUUAAUUUAAGGUAUAACCUGCCCAGUGAUCUUUUUUAAAUGGCCGCGGUACUUUGACCGUGCUAAGGUAGCAUAAUCACUUGACUUUUAAAUGGAGUCUGGAAUGAAUGGGAUAACGGAGUUUAGCUGUCUUUACUUUUUUAUUUUGAAUUUACUAAUUAGGUGAAAAGGCCUAUAAGUGAAAAAAGACGAGAAGACCCUUAGAGUUUCAUUUUAAUUUUGUUGGGGCGACAUAGGAAAAUAAUCUUCCUAAAAAAUAUAAGACGGUUUUCAUGAAUAGAUAAACUACCUGAGGGAUAACAGCAUAAUCUUUUUUGGUUUGUGACCUCGAUGUUGGACUAGGAAUUUUUUAGGCAAGCCGCUUAAAAAAGAGAUUCUGUUCGAAUUUUCUCUCCU
rnacentral:rRNA from 1 species